UACGAAGGGGGCUAGCGUUGUUCGGAAUUACUGGGCGUAAAGGGCGCGUAGGCGGCCCUCCAAGUCAGAUGUGAAAGCCCCGGGCUUAACCUGGGAAUUGCAUUUGAGACUGUGGGCUUGAGUUUCGGAGAGGUGGGUGGAAUUCCCAGUGUAGAGGUGAAAUUCGUAGAUAUUGGGAAGAACACCGGUGGCGAAGGCGGCCCACUGGACGAACACUGACGCUGAGGCGCGAAAGCGUGGGAGCAAACAGG
rnacentral:rRNA from 1 species